UAGCUCAGUUGGUAGAGCACGACCUUGCCAAGGUCGGGGUCGCGAGUUCGAGUCUCGU
rnacentral:tRNA from 37 species